rnacentral:rRNA from 1 species
CGUUGUUGGGUAGGGGAGCGUUCUGUAAGCCGUGAAGGUGUGUCGUGAGGCAUGCUGGAGGUAUCAGAAGUGCGAAUGCUGACAUAAGUAACGAUAAAGCGGGUGAAAAGCCCGCUCGCCGGAAGACCAAGGGUUCCUGUCCAACGUUAAUCGGGGCAGGGUGAGUCGACCCCUAAGGCGAGGCCGAAAGGCGUAGUCGAUGGGAAACGGGUUAAUAUUCCCGUACUUGGUGUUACUGCGAAGGGGGGACGGAGAAGGCUAUGUUGGCCGGGCGACGGUUGUCCCGGUUUAAGCGUGUAGGUGUGUGUUCCAGGUAAAUCCGGUUCACUUUAACACUGAGGCGUGACGACGAGGCACUACGGUGCUGAAGCAACAAAUGCCCUGCUUCCAGGAAAAGCCUCUAAGCAUCAGGUAACAUCAAAUCGUACCCCAAACCGACACAGGUGGUCAGGUAGAGAAUACCAAGGCGCUUGAGAGAACUCGGGUGAAGGAACUAGGCAAAAUGGUGCCGUAACUUCGGGAGAAGGCACGCUGACACGUAGGUGAAGUGAUUUACUCAUGGAGCUGAAGUCAGUCGAAGAUACCAGCUGGCUGCAACUGUUUAUUAAAAACACAGCACUGUGCAAACACGAAAGUGGACGUAUACGGUGUGACGCCUGCCCGGUGCCGGAAGGUUAAUUGAUGGGGUCAGCGCAAGCGAAGCUCCUGAUCGAAGCCCCGGUAAACGGCGGCCGUAACUAUAACGGUCCUAAGGUAGCGAAAUUCCUUGUCGGGUAAGUUCCGACCUGCACGAAUGGCGUAAUGAUGGCCAGGCUGUCUCCACCCGAGACUCAGUGAAAUUGAACUCGCUGUGAAGAUGCAGUGUACCCGCGGCAAGACGGAAAGACCCCGUGAACCUUUACUAUAGCUUGACACUGAACAUUGAGCCUUGAUGUGUAGGAUAGGUGGGAGGCUUUGAAGUGUGGACGCCAGUCUGCAUGGAGCCGACCUUGAAAUACCACCCUUUAAUGUUUGAUGUUCUAACGUGGACCCGUAAUCCGGGUUGCGGACAGUGUCUGGUGGGUAGUUUGACUGGGGCGGUCUCCUCCUAAAGAGUAACGGAGGAGCACGAAGGUUGGCUAAUCCUGGUCGGACAUCAGGAGGUUAGUGCAAUGGCAUAAGCCAGCUUGACUGCGAGCGUGACGGCGCGAGCAGGUGCGAAAGCAGGUCAUAGUGAUCCGGUGGUUCUGAAUGGAAGGGCCAUCGCUCAACGGAUAAAAGGUACUCCGGGGAUAACAGGCUGAUACCGCCCAAGAGUUCAUAUCGACGGCGGUGUUUGGCACCUCGAUGUCGGCUCAUCACAUCCUGGGGCUGAAGUAGGUCCCAAGGGUAUGGCUGUUCGCCAUUUAAAGUGGUACGCGAGCUGGGUUUAGAACGUCGUGAGACAGUUCGGUCCCUAUCUGCCGUGGGCGCUGGAGAACUGAGGGGGGCUGCUCCUAGUACGAGAGGACCGGAGUGGACGCAUCACUGGUGUUCGGGUUGUCAUGCCAAUGGCACUGCCCGGUAGCUAAAUGCGGAAGAGAUAAGUGCUGAAAGCAUCUAAGCACGAAACUUGCCCCGAGAUGAGUUCUCCCUGAGACUUAGAGUCUCCUGAAGGAACGUUGAAGACGACGACGUUGAUAGGCCGGGUGUGUAAGCGCAGCGAUGCGUUGAGCUAACCGGUACUAAUGAACCGUGAGGCUUAACCUUAC